UAAAAGCUACAGCAUCUCAGACUGCUGGAGCCUUGUGAUGAGUUUCGCUGGGACAGUCUGUCUCAUGUUUGGAAAUGGGACUGGAAAUUUAGUUCAUGCAGCGAUACACAACUGUCUGCCAAAGGUUGCAGUCAGCAGACGGUUGGACCUGGGAGCACGGUCUGUCACUUUCCGAUGACAUUUUCCCUGUUUUAGCGCCAUAGUGUGAGAGAGGAAAGAGGUCUCACAGGUAGAACACGUUAAAGCAAAGACUGCACCCUGUGUUGCCCGCCAGCCGAAAGAGGCCGCAGUGGAAGCCCUGUCGCUGGGGACCUGAGACGGCCCUAUGGGAGCACGUGAGCCAGUGAUGAUCAGAGUUUACCAUGUGGAUUGAAGCUGUCUGGCAUGGAGCAGUUGCAGAAAGUCACGUGGAGUGGUCACUGUGCUCAGAAAGUGGGCAUCAAACAAAGGCUGCCAUCCUGCGUCUCCUGGAGGCUGCACCUCUGCAUCUCUCAGAGUUAGCACGUGAAACCCUGUGUCCUGAUGUUAGUGUGGCAGCACCAGAAGUUGGGGUUUCUGGGGAUAAUCAGGAGACACACCCUUGGAGCCUGCUGUGGCUUGAAUAGGGUUUGCCCUUCCUGAAACUCAGGCUGAGGUUUGAGUCCUCAGGGCGUCUGUGUCAGGAGCUGGGGCUUAGGGAGGUGUUUGGGUCACAGGAGCAAAGCCUCACAAGUGGAUGCAUGUCACGCUUCUCCUGUGCGAGUGAGUACUGCUCUUGUGGGGCUGGGCUGGCAGCUGCCGGGCAGCUGGGUGUGCAGCGAGCCCAGCCCUCUUGUUCACACUGUUCUUCACAGCUCCCACUUUCUGUCUUUCCACUUUCUGUAGUGAGCUGACCCCGCAAAGAGACUCUCACCACAUGUGGUCACCUGAGCUUGAAUGUCACAGCUACCAGAACCAUGAGCUGAAUUAACCUCUUUGCUUUGUAUAAUACACAUUCUCACGUAUCCUGUAAUAGUAACAGAAAACAGAUGAAGACAGUUCUCAUAUAAAAGGAGCCCCUGAAAGCUGCCUUGGCCCUUCUACAAGGCAGGAACACAGCACAGAUUCACUGUCUAUGAUCCAGAGAGAGUGCUCUCACCAGGGCGCGGAACUGCCCUACGGUAGAAUGUCUACCUUCCAGCACAGUGGGAUAUCAACUUCUGUUGUCUAUAAGCCAUCCUUUUAAGGGCAUUGGGUCACAGUAGCCUCAAUGAAUAAGGACAUCUUUUCCCCUCUUCUCAUUUGCAAAAGUUGUAGUAAUUUUUAGUUUGUGAAUUUCCAACAAAUGAAUGAAUGAUAGCUGAUCUACGAUCCUGCCAUAUUAGCACAGAAAGUUUAAAUAUCUCUAAGGAUUAUAAGAUAUAGAAAACAAAACAACACACAAAAGAACUGGGCCAGUUAUAGGAAGAUCAUGCUUUAAGACUGUCUGGUAAAUAUAGAGCAAACUGUUCCGUUUUUUUCCUAAAGUUCAUACUUACACAGGGCAUUAACAAUGGUGUAACUACUGGACUGUCAUUACUAAGUGGGGACACCUUCAGACAGAGGGAGGUGUUGGCAAAACGUGAUUGAUUUACAAACAUUCAGCUAAAAUAUUUCAAGGUAAUUUCUGUGAACAGAGCAAAGGCACGACAGUCCAAGAACGAUGCCUGUGUUGCUGGCGGUAAGGAACUACUGGUGCUUAGGAAUGCUGGCGUUCCCUUGUUUCUUACCAAAGCGCUUUUAUUGUUGGCUUCAGAUCACAGGAAAUUUCCCUCAGGUUCUAGAUUAGCAACUCCCUUUCACACAUUGCAAUUCAAUUGUUUCUGACCUGCAAUUGAUCGAAAAACCCAAUUGCAUUCACUAAGAUUCUGUACGACAGCUCUUUGCCAUGUAGUUCCCAUUUCUCAGUACGUUUCCAUAGGAAUCCCCGACACGGAAUAUAAUCUGCACAAAUGGACAAAGUUGAGUCCCAUCUAAGGUCCAAAAUCGUUUCAUUAGACAUCCUGAGGAAGAUGACUUUGCCUUGGUUGGUUUUAAUGGCCUGUCAACUUGGUUCUUGAAUUAGCGUGAUUUUAAGAAUGAAAGCAAUACACCCUCAUCUAUCUCAGUAUCUGUCUUAACUUACUAUAAAUCAAAUGGCCAGUCGCUGAAUUUAGAGCCCAGCAGCUGACCUGGGUGAAGUCCCAGCCUUGCCCCUGCAGGCUGUUUUCUGGCUCUUAGUGAAUGCCUUACCAAGCUGCCAUCCUGCAGCUUUAAACUCACCCUUCUCCACUGCACCCGUCAGGCUGAGACCUUUGCAGGUGGAGCUUUGCAGGUGGCUCAUGUGCUUUGCUUGUCGCGCCAGCCAGGCCGCUCUGCCAACGGGGAUGGACAGCAGGAGACCAGACAGUGGGCCAGCGGGAAGACACACUCCACUUUACUCAUCCAACCACAUUCUAGUCCAAGCUUCCUCCACCUUUUACCCACAUGCCUGUGCAGGCCCCAAACCAGCUCCAGUACCCUCAAAGAUGCCAGCACCUCCUUUUCUGAGAUUCAGGGUCCCACCUUCAUGGCUGCAAAGGCAGCCACAAAGUGGGUCUGACGCCUGCACCUCCUCAUCUACUUUUCUAAAUCCUAAUCAUCUCGAGCUCUUCACUUGGCAUCUCUAAUUCUAGAGAUGUAGAGGAUUUCAGCAUGUUCUCUCUCUAGGCUAUGAGCCUCUUCACCUGUUUCUAUUUCAUGUUUAACUGAUUCCUAAUAUUACAUUUUCUCUGCUAUCUGACUGUGUGAUUUCUGUUUUCCUAAGUGGACCAGGGCCCAUGCUUUUACUUGAGUAAAACAGAGGCGAGAGACCUGCUAUGGGUCGAAAUGCUUUGCUUCCUCCCUAAUCCCUAGCACCUGAGAAUGUGAGCGUCUUUGGAAAUAGCAUCACUGUAGGGGUAAUGGGAUGAGAUGCAUCGUACCGGAGUAGAGGAGGCUCUGAAUCUAGUGACCACUGUUUGCAUAAGCGUAGGAGAAAAGGCAUUCUAAUGACAGAAACAGACUCCAGCAGCCAAGCAGUGUUGAGAGCAGCCAGCGGUCACCAGAAGCUAGAACAUGGCACGGGACUGAUGCUGCCUCUGAGUUCUCAGAAGGACUUAGCCCUGCACAGACCUUGAUUUUGGGAACUGUUAGAGAAUAAACACCUGUGGCUUCAAGUCACACAGUGGUUACAGGUACCUUAGGCAAUCCCUGAUGAGUUGCUUGUGUGAUGAAUGACUGCAAAGUUGCAAUGGGAAGCAGAAAUACCAAAACAACAUCCAGGAUUGGGAGGCAGGUUUAUUUAUGUUGAUGGGCAUUGAUUGGGGUCACUCCCAGAAUAUCAGGUUCUGAUUUCUGGUGGUCCAGGGUUUAUAUGAGAUAAGCAAGCAGGAAGUACAGAGACAGAGUGGCUUGUCAGUGGGGGACUGGUUUACACAGUGUGCAUCACAGUGGCCAGCUGUUGCUAAGAGACAAGAGCAACUGGACUGGGACAGGAACUAUUACCUGCGCAGCUAAGAAGCUGAAGCAUGCUGCUGUGAGACGGAUGCUAGAAAUAGAUGAGGGUGUACUGCUUUCAUUCUUAAAAUCACCCUAGUUCAAGAACCAACCCUGGAAGAAGUAUUCUGCUCCACAGUGACCUGCUUGGGACCUGAUGCCUAUAAGUUAUCAGUAAGAGGAACUGUUCUCAUAGCCUUACCUGACCUCCAACAAAGCCUGUGACAGAGUCACAUGCCAAGGCUGACCGGGUCGCCUCCUUAAUGGCUCAUAAGCAGAGGACCUGACUCAAGGACUCCCAGCUCCUGAGUUGCUAUAGGAUUGGCGCAAGUUCUUGUGACCCUGAGGGACCCCACUUCUCCUUUAUCCUCUAUGUGUCCACUUCCCCUUCCUCUGAGGCUGUCCCCAACUACCUGGGCAUGCACAGCUCUGAGUCUGGUCCCUAUGAGCCUGCUCUGUGCUACUCUGAGGUAAAUAGAAGCCUUGUGUUGGAGUUUUACAAAGCACAAUUUGCAUACAUAUGGAACUGAUGGGGAAAUAAUGGAGUCCAUAAAAAUUCGUGAGAUUUAAAAUAAUUGUUCUGUAGCCUGCUGGCUUAACCUUAUCAGGUAUUCAUGGGAACAAGAUGAUGACCUCUUUUGUCUAGGUGGCCCCUAUGUCAGAAGCAAUAAAAAUGCUAUUUAAGAAACACAGCAGGUCCCAGGUUAUGGUCUCUGGCUGGCUUAAAUGUCACCUUCCCAAUCCUAGAUCUCUCUGGCAGCGGUCUCAGGUCAAAUAUAAUAUUUACCAGUCUGAGAACUUGUAACACAAGGAUUUUUGAUGCAAUGAAAUAAAUGUGGCUUGAUGCAAAAAAGAUGCUAUUCUAUCUGGACACCCAGAAUUCUCUGUCAAUAGUGCAAGACAGUCAAUUCUAAGACACAAAUAAUUAAAACAUCUGUGAGUUUAUUGCUUUAUAGGUUCCAUUUGUAUGUUCCAUUUUAAAGCUGCAUUUAAAGUUGUUUGUGAUAAGAACAAAGAUUUGAAUGCUCAGGGUUCCAGAUUUCCUCUUUAAUGAAAUAAUCGCAUUCUGCUGCAUAUCCUGGGCUCAUUUACAUGGUAAUCACAGGUACAAUGCCGGCACUCCCAUCACAAGUCAGUACAGCAAUCUCUGCCUCUCAGGAGGAAGCGUAGGUGUUCACUGCUUACCAUACAGAUGGGCUCUGGAGGGAGGCGCCCACGGGUGUUGUAAUUAUCAUAGACGGGAGCAGGGGACCGGCAAAUGUUCUUGCCUUUCAUCGUCUUCGAGAAGGGCAAGUUAGAAACGAGUGUUAGGGGUAGAGUACAGGCUACAGGCUUCUGUAACAUCAACCUGAAUUCCUAUGUGAUGGUUGUACUUACUAGCAAAGGUACGAAUACACUGUGAUAAAGGCAUGAACUCACUAAUGUUCUGAAAUGCUUCUGCGUGAUGCAGUGUCUAUGCAUUUUGCAAACAUGGACCCUGGCUCUGCCCCGCAUUCUGAGGCCUGCAGUUGGCAAACAGGGAGGAAGAGGACCUGGUCUCCUAUCCUGGCUGUCGUGCUGAUUGGCUGUGUGACCUUGGAGGACUCGGCCUUCUGGUGUUUCUGCUUUUCUUCUGUAAAGCAGUGUGAAUUCAGGAGAUCUGUUUGUGUCAGCGUGCCCUCUCACGCAUCUCCUCCAAAAGGUGCCCGAUCUUUUGCACACAGUGAUUCUGCAGCUCUGAAGCACAGUUUCUACCUGCCUUGUGUGUUGAGUCCUGGCUCUACCAUCUCUGUGAGGGAACAGCUAAUGGACCUAUCAGCUCCUGUGAACAUUGAAUUAUCCAAGGACGCUGCUGCCCAUGCAGCAAUAAUGGCCAGUGUCUGAGCGCCACAGGUGCCCUCAGCCCAUAACUCCUAGGCUUGGCCGCUGGUCAUUGACAAGGUCAUUAAUCAUCUGUCCCGUGUCUGCCCUUCCUGGACCUCCUCUGGGGGCUGACUGUGUUCUUCUGCUAUUUCUUUUCUGCUACAUGCACUCAUUUAAGUACCAAAAUGAAUUCCAUUGCCCUCUUGGAGUUCAUGCCGCGGCCCAAUUUUUUGCUGUGGAACAGAGGCAGGUAGCUCUUCUCCUGAUUUCCCUGAUGGAGGCUGUAGGUCUUGUAUAGACCCAAAUUGUACGGAGCCAGGAGCAUAAGACAGUCCCAGGCCCACAGUGUGCUGUAGGGCAUUAGAUUUCAUGAUGAGAAUGCGCCCUGAUCAUCUGGUUUUUACCAACGCUAAAGAUGUACAGAGAAUUCCUAGAAGUAAUUCCCAAUUCCUUGACAAAAUUCACAUGUAGCAACGUAAGAGAUGCUGUGAUUCUACAUUUUCUUUUUAAAGUCAUGUGUAUUUGGACUAAACUUAUUUUUAUUUGUAUAAACUUUGUUUCAUGAAAAUUGUAUGUUGAUGAUUGUGAUGAUCAGGAGCUUAUUAUUCACAUGGAAUUUAUCUUCUUCCACUGAGCAUUCUCUUCUUGGGCACCGGUCCAUCAAGUUGAAUUUUACACAGCUACUGUUUCCUUCCCUUUCUAAAUAGUGUAUUUGUGUGAUACAUGAAGCACGUUCCGCAGGCUCCUGGCACUCAUCCGCAUGGCAGCUCAGUCCUGUGACUGCCCUUCCUUCUCUUCCCCCAGCUAAUUUCUUGACAAAGUUUUGUUAACUUUGUAAAUUACUUAUUCACAAACUGCAUCACGUGAGUGCUCAGCCUUCACCAUGCUUCCUAAACAGUAACAGCAGCAGUGACACUGGCAGUGGUAUUUUUAAGUUGAAUCAUUAAUUUUGGAGGGAUUUUUGCUAAUUCACGGGACAAUUAAGACAGUUUUUUUAAGGGGUUACAGAGCUACUUUAUUAAGCAGGUUUGGCAAUUUUGUCAUUAUUGUCUCAUAUUUUUGAAGUCCAUCUAGAAAAUUAUUAAAAACAUACAAUAUCAUUUUAAGUGCAUAGGCUGUGAUGAAAUACCUAGGGAUAAAUUUAACAAACUAUUUGAAUUCAUUGUGUUCCAAAGUUUCCAAACUAACUUGUUGAGAGGAAAAAAGAAGACAAGGCACAAACUAUGCCUAUGGAGAGAAAACUCAAUAUUGCUGGGACAUUCCUCCAAACUGAGCUACAGCAUUUGUGCACCAUAUAUAUUAUAUAAAUUAAUAUAUAUUAAUUACAAUAGCAUAAAAUUCUUAGAUCACUUAAGGGAGAUUGUAUAGAUUGUCUAAUCCCUAAUUAUUUAAAAUUUCCACUAGUAAUUUUGUAGUUUUCUGUGUAAAGGUUUUACGAUUUGGUAUUUUCAGAAUCAUUGUGAACCAUAUAUCUUAAAAUUUUAAUUUUCUAAUCAUCUAUUAUUACUGUAGUAUCAGGCAAACUUAAAUAUAUGUGUUAAUUUUGAUACUGUUGUUUUAGACAUUUUUAAAUUUUAAAAAGUAAUCAUGCCCUGGAAUAAAGGACAGCUUUUUUCCCCUUCAAUCAUUGCAUUUAAGUAUUUUUUGUUUCUUUGCUUAGUGAUCCAGAAUUAAUGUCAAAUAGCUAACAGAUGUGAUUGUCAGGAUUCAGGUCUAAGGUGUUCCCCAGUGCCUAGUUGUGUGGAAGGCUUCCUCCCUGAGGCAGAGCUCUGGCCAGUGAUCAGAGCACAGCCUUCUCAAAGGCUUUAUCCACCAACCCCUUAGUGCAUGGAAUCCAUCCUUAGUAAGGGGGUGUGGCCUUGAGGGCUGCUCUCCAGUCCCCAGUCCCUUCUCCUCUGCCUGUCCCACUCUCUGGCUGCUGGCUGACACCAGGGGAGCCGCUUUUUCCUGCCACGCAUGUCCCGUGAUGCUCACGGUGGAGCGAGACAGCUAUAGGCUGACACCUCUGAAUCCAUGAGUCAAAAUAAACCCUCCUCCUUUAAAGUUUCGUUGUUGGGCAUUUUAUACAGACUCACAGAAUAACAGUAAACCUCAUGGACUUUUUCCUGACCAAAAGGAAAAGGCUUUCAAUGUUUGACAUGAAGAAUGGGUGUGUACUAUAAGCAUGUUGUGGAUAAACUUUAUCAGAUUAAGCAAUAUUCCAA